GAGGAAAAGAAACCAACAGGGAUUGCCUCAGUAACGGCGAGUGAAGCGGCAAGAGCUCAAAUUUGAAAGCUGGCCCCUUCGGGGUCCGCGUUGUAAUUUGCAGAGGAUGCUUCGGGUGCAGCCCCCGUCUAAGUGCCCUGGAACGGGCCGUCAUAGAGGGUGAGAAUCCCGUCUGGGACGGGGUGUCUGCGUCCGUGUGAAGCUCCUUCGAAGAGUCGAGUUGUUUGGGAAUGCAGCUCUAAAUGGGUGGUAAAUUUCAUCUAAAGCUAAAUACUGGCCGGAGACCGAUAGCGCACAAGUAGAGUGAUCGAAAGAUGAAAAGCACUUUGAAAAGAGAGUUAAACAGCACGUGAAAUUGUUGAAAGGGAAGCGUUUGCGACCAGACUCGCUCGCGGGGUUCAGCCGGCAUUCGUGCCGGUGUACUUCCCCGUGGGCGGGCCAGCGUCGGUUUGGGCGGCCGGUCAAAGGCCCUCGGAAUGUAUCACCUCUCGGGGUUGUCUUAUAGCCGAGGGUGCAAUGCGGCCUGCCCGGACCGAGGAACGCGCUUCGGCUCGGACGCUGGCGUAAUGGUCGUAAAUGACCCGUCUUG
rnacentral:rRNA from 1 species